GCGAAUAGCUCAGUAACACGUGGCCAAACUACCCUUCGGAGCACAAUACCCUCGGGAAACUGAGGCUAAUAGUGCAUACCACAGUCCAGCUGGAAUGAGGACUGUGCCAAACGCUCCGGCGCCGAAGGAUGUGGCUGCGGCCGAUUAGGUAGACGGUGGGGUAACGGCCCACCGUGCCAAUAAUCGGUACGGGUCAUGAGAGUGAGAACCCGGAGACGGAAUCUGAGACAAGAUUCCGGGCCCUACGGGGCGCAGCAGGCGCGAAACCUUUACACUGCACGCCAGUGCGAUAAGGGAAUCCCAAGUGCGCAGGCAUAGAGCCUGCGCUUUUGUACACCGUAGGGAGGUGUACGAAUAAGGGCUGGGCAAGACCGGUGCCAGCCGCCGCGGUAAUACCGGCAGCCCGAGUGAUGGCCGAUCUUAUUGGGCCUAAAGCGUCCGUAGCUGGCCGCACAAGUCCAUCGGAAAAUCCACCCGCCCAACGGGUGGGCGUCCGGUGGAAACUGUGUGGCUUGGGACCGGAAGGCGCGACGGGUACGUCCGGGGUAGGAGUGAAAUCCCGUAAUCCUGGACGGACCGCCGAUGGCGAAAGCACGUCGCGAGGACGGAUCCGACAGUGAGGGACGAAAGCCAGGGUCUCGAACCGGAUUAGAUACCCGGGUAGUCCUGGCCGUAAACAAUGUCUGUUAGGUGUGGCUCCCACUACGAGUGGGUGCUGUGCCGUAGGGAAGCCGCUAAACAGACCGCCUGGGAAGUACGUCCGCAAGGAUGAAACUUAA
rnacentral:rRNA from 1 species